rnacentral:rRNA from 1 species
GACGAACGCUGGCGGCGUGCUUAACACAUGCAAGUCGAACGGAAAGGCCCUGCUUUUGUGGGGUGCUCGAGUGGCGAACGGGUGAGUAACACGUGAGUAACCUGCCCUUGACUUUGGGAUAACUUCAGGAAACUGGGGCUAAUACCGGAUAGGAGCUCCUGCUGCAUGGUGGGGGUUGGAAAGUUUCGGCGGUUGGGGAUGGACUCGCGGCUUAUCAGCUUGUUGGUGGGGUAGUGGCUUACCAAGGCUUUGACGGGUAGCCGGCCUGAGAGGGUGACCGGCCACAUUGGGACUGAGAUACGGCCCAGACUCCUACGGGAGGCAGCAGUGGGGAAUAUUGCACAAUGGGCGGAAGCCUGAUGAGGAAACGCCGCGUGCGGGAUGACGGCCUUCGGGUUGUAAACCGCUUUCGCCUGUGACGAAGCGUGAGUGACGGUAAUGGGUAAAGAAGCACCGGCUAACUACGUG